GAUGAACGCUGGCGGCGUGCCUAAUACAUGCAAGUCGAGCGAACAGACGAGGAGCUUGCUCCUCUGACGUUAGCGGCGGACGGGUGAGUAACACGUGGAUAACCUACCUAUAAGACUGGGAUAACUUCGGGAAACCGGAGCUAAUACCGGAUAAUAUAUUGAACCGCAUGGUUCAAUAGUGAAAGACGGUUUUGCUGUCACUUAUAGAUGGAUCCGCGCCGCAUUAGCUAGUUGGUAAGGUAACGGCUUACCAAGGCAACGAUGCGUAGCCGACCUGAGAGGGGAAUCGGCAAACCUGGACCGAGGACAGGGUCCAAACCCCUAGGGGGGGCAGCAGUAGGAAAUUUUCCGCAAGGGGGGAAAGCCUGACGAGGCAACCCCGGGGGGGUAAGAAAGGUUUUCGGAUCGUAAACCUCUGUUAUUAGGAAAAAACAAAUGUAUAAGUAACUAUGCACGUCUUGACGGUACCAAAGCAGAAAGCCACGGCUAACUACGU
rnacentral:rRNA from 1 species